rnacentral:tRNA from 1 species
CCCAGUGUGGCGUAGUGGUUUGAGUGUUGGACUAUGACUCAAAAGACCAGGGUUCAAUUCCAAGCUCAGCCA